rnacentral:misc_RNA from 1 species
GAUGAAGAACGUAGCGAAAUGCGAUAAGUAAUGUGAAUUGCAGAAUUCAGUGAAUCAUCGAAUCUUUGAACGCACCUUGCGCUCCUUCGUAUUCCGAGGAGCAUGCCUGUUUGAGUCUCAUGGAAUUCUCAAGCUUACAGUUUUGUUACUGCAAGGCUUGGACUUGGAGGUCGUGUCGGCUCUCGCGAGUCGACUCCUCUGAAAUGCAUUAGUGCGGACGUUACCGGUCGCUUCAGCGUGAUAAUUAUCUGCGCUGCCGUCGACUGGUAUGUGAAGUACGCGCUUCUAACCGUCCUUCACGGGACAAUACAUUGAAACUCUGAGCUCAAAUCAGGUAGGACUACCCGCUGAACUUAAGCAUAUCAAUAAGCGGAGGA